CAGUCGCGUCUGUCGGGAUUCAGCCUGGCUUCUGCCUGGUGUACUUCCCGGCCGACGGGUCAGCAUCAGUUUCGACCGAGAGAGAAAGGCUUGGGGAAUGUGGCUGUCUUCGGGCAGUGUUAUAGACCCUUGUCGUAUGUCUUGGUUGGGACUGAGGAACGCAGCGCGCCAUUUUGGCCGGGGGUCGCUCCUCUCGACACGCGCUUAGGAUGCUGGCAUAAUGGCUUUAAGCGACCCGUCUUGAAACACGGACCAAGGAGUCUAACAUAUGUGCGAGUGUUU
rnacentral:rRNA from 1 species